ACAAAAACAUCUUUUCUUGUUAGUUUUUGAAGUAUGGCCUGCCCACUGACUUAAAAGUUGAAGGGCCGCGGUAUUUUGACCGUGCAAAGGUAGCAUAAUCAUUAGUUCUUUAAUUGUGAUCUGGUAUGAAUGGCUUGACGAGACAUAAGCUGUCUUAGAGGUAUUGGUUUAGUUGAAUUUGGUUUUUGAGUUAAAAUUCUUAAAUGUUUUUAUGGGACGAGAAGACCCUAUAGAGUUUGACAAUUUUCUUAUUUGUUCGUUGUUUGUUUUUGUUACAUUGAGUGGGAAUAGAUUGUUUUGUUGGGGUGAUGGGAGGAAUAUUAUUUAACUCCUCUUUGUUUUUAUAUAUUUAUGUAUAUAUUUUUGAUCCAUUUAUUUUGAUUAUAAGAUUAAAUUACCUUAGGGAUAACAGCGUUAUCUUCCCUGAGAGUUCUUAUUGGCGGGGGGGUUUGCGACCUCGAUGUUGGAUUAAGGUGAAUUUCGGUGCAGGAGCUGAAAGUGAUUGGGUCUU
rnacentral:rRNA from 1 species